rnacentral:tRNA from 1 species
GCCCCGGUAGCUCAAUUGGAUAGAGCAGGUCCGUCCUAAGGACAAGGUUGGUGGUUCAAGUCCGCCCCGGGGCG